rnacentral:lncRNA from 1 species
UAGAGUAGGUCACAAUAGGUUAAUGGGGGAAAGUUGUUUGUAAUUAGGUAUUGUUUACAAAACAUUCAAGAUAAUCAUUGGCCUAAGACUAUACCAAAAAUUUGCAAAUGAAGAGCAAAAGGAAGAUAUUUUGUUUAAUUGUGAUGCAAGAAGCCGCUUAACUACACUAUUUAGGUGGGCCAACACGUGUAGGCGGACCAGCUGGUAUAUAUUGUUGCUGUUGGAUUUCCAUUAAUUCUAGGCUCACUAGAACUUCAUGGGGUGUUUGUUUUUGUGUCAAUGCGCCAUGGAUAGCUGCAAGUAAAUGUUUGCUUUGUAGAUGUGUCCUUAGUUUCUUCCCAUAUGUCAUGUUGGAUAUAAUUUGUUCUCUUAAAUUGUUUAAGAAAAAUUGGAAAUAACUAACAAAGAUAAAAAAACAUCAUGUCAUCUAAGAUCCACCCCCUCCGCUCGCACGAUAUUUCUUUGAAAAAUGGAAAUAAUCCCUUCAUGUCAUGGAAGAUCUACAUCCUUCCACUCACGCGAUAUCGCAUCAUCUAACCUGGGUCAGUUUUCCCCCUUUCCUCAUAGAAUAUCGUGUCGUAAUGCAUGAGAUAUAUCCUGAACUCCACUUAUUGUAGCACGACAAUAACUUCUCUAGCCACGCCACAAUUUGAGACGUACCGGAAGCCUACCCACCGUCCGAAAUUAAUGACACAUGUAAGCAAAGUGAUGGGUGGGUGUUGGGACUUACGGGAGGCCAUGCAAGAGACGCAAUGCUUGGUUCGUUGACCCCAUUUAUUCUCCACGUGGAUCGCUUCUUGAUGGUCUCACGCUCGAGUUGGUCACCUCCCAUGGCUAAGCCUGGCAUCCGGUGUAAACUAAACUUAUGUUAGUAAAUUUUGGUGUUUCUAUAUUUGUUGUUUGAUUCUGUUUUCAAUUUAUUCCUAAAGGGUAGAAUGCAUUAGGCUAACUAAGAAUAUGGAUACCUUCAAUGCUUGGCACCCCACCAUAUUAAAUAGAAAAGGUCCCUACCCCAUUUUGUUUGGCCACACGAUGUGGGACAAAUCACAAAACUGACAAGCCCCACGGGAGAGACUGACUGGAUUGGUUAAGAAGAAGUUUUGCAGAAUAUUAGGCCUUGCGUAGUUGCAUACAAUGUUGAGGUGAAGAUCCAUAUGGUGCGGAUGUUUCGUUGUCAAACGGGCCAAAUAUCCCCUAAAUGGGUCAUCGGACGCUAAAAUCGAUCUUAGGACACUACCGAUUUGGCUAACGGCUUAUCAAAUCCCUAGUGUUUUUAAGUUGGGUUUGAGUUAGAGGAGCGAGAGUCGAUGUGUUUGCGGUUCUAGAGGAUUGCCAAAGAUGCCCUAAGAGACUUUAUGACUUGUUCUCACACGUUGCUCGUAUUAAAACUACAAUAGGAAAUCAUACUUCGCAUGCACAAAUGUGUGGUGUACCCAGAAAAUGCAAUAGAGACAAUUGUAGUUACGUGUGAGAACAUAUUAAAAAUAAUUUCAGUUUUGUGCAAUGAAGGGAAACUAAAGUAAUGUCCUUCUCAUAUUUAUGCUCACACUGAUCACAUUCAUCCAUCCACUCGUCCUUAUAGUUGUAUAGAGUAGGGCACAAUAGGUCCAUGGGAGAGUGUUUUUUGUAAUUAGGCGGUAAGUGUGUACAAGACAUACAAGACAACCAUUGGCCUAGAGCCUAUGCCAUCCAUAUGCAAAUAAAGUGCAAAAGGAAGAAUGUUUAACUGUAAAGAAAGAAGCCGCUUAACUACAAAAUUUACGCGGGCCAACAUGUCUGGGAGGAGUAGGUGGUAUUUUUGGGGUGAAUUUCCAUUUUAAGCUCAUUGGAACUUGAUGGGGAUGUUUGGUUUUUGGGGUGUGCUCCAUGGACAGCUAGCCAGCUAAUGUUAGCAUUGUAGAUGUGCCCUUUGUUUUUUCCCGUAUUUCAAGAUAGAUAUGCAUUUUUUUUCUUAAAUUGGUUAAGAAAACAUGGAAAUAACUAGCAACAAUGAAAAACACAUCAGCUCAUUGAGGAUCACCCCCCCCCCGACUCCACUCGCUUGAGAUCGCUUUGGGAAAAUGCAAAUUAUGACUUCACGUCAUGGAAGAUCCACACCCUUGCACUCACACGAGAUCACAUCAUCUAACCCAAGAUCUGUCUUACCCCUUUCCUCACAGAAAAUCACAUCAUAACGUGUGACAUAUAUCCUAAGGUCUAGCAUGACAACAAAUUCUCUAGCCAUCCCGCCACUUGAGACAUACCGAAACCCACCCCACCAUGUGACAUUAAACAUACAUGUAAGAAAGCUAGGGGUGGGCUUGGGACUUAUGAGAGGUCAUGCGAGAGAUAGAAUGCUUGGGCUAUCAAUCCACUUUCUCCUCCCUCGUGCAUCGCUUCUCGAUGGUUCCACGCCCAUGUUGCACACCUCACGUGACCGAGCCUGGCAUUUGGUAUAUACCAAACUUCGGUUAUUAAGUUUUGUUGUUUCUAUAUUUCCGUUUUAAUUCCGUUGGUUAAGUAAAAUGGAAAUAACUAGCAAGAGUGAAAAACCCAUCACAUCGGUGAAGAUCGCCCCCAAUCCACUCACAUGAGAUCGCUUUGAAAAAAUGAAAUUUGUUACUUCACAUCAUUGAAGAUCCACACCCUUCCACUCACACGAGAUCACAUCAUCUACCCGAGAUUUGUGUGACCCUUUUCCUCACACAAGAUCAUGUCAUAACGUGUGACAUAUAUCCUAAUGUGUAGCAUGACAAUAAAUUCUCUAGCCGCCCUGCCACUUGAGACGUGCCGAAACCCACACCACCAUUUGACAUGAAACAUGCAUGUAAGAAAACGAGGCAUGGGUUUUGGGCCUUAUGAGAGGUCAUGUAAGAGCCACAAAUCUUGGGUUGUCAAUCCCCUUUAUCCUCCCUUGUGGAUCGCUGCUUGACGAUCCCAUGACCAUGUUGGGUACCUCACAUGGCUAACCCUGCCAUUUGCUACAUAAACUUCGGUUAGUAAGUUUUGGUGUUUCUAUAUUUCAUUUUUUAUUCGGUUUUCGACUUAUACUGAAAGAGUAUCCCGUGUGCGGUUCACCAAGGAUAUGGAUGCCUUCCACCCGAGGCAUACCACCCUAUUAAAUAGUCAAGCUCCUGCCUCCAUUUUUUGCAGCCUGGUGAUGUGGUACUAAAAACCAAAUGGACAAGCCCCAUGGGAGAGACUCAUUGGUGUGGGUAAGAAAAAUAGGUGAUGUAGAUUAUUGGGCAUUGCCUAUUUGCCUACAGUAUUGAGGUGGAUGCCCACAUGAGUGAUUGGGUCUUCCCUGACUUGCACACACGACCACAUGGCACUCACCUUAACCUUAGGGGAGCGACUCUGUGUCGACUAUUGUGAGACGAAACAAGGUGCCGCCUAGAGUGCUGACGAAAUUGGCUAGAACACCAUGCUGGGCGACCAUCGGCCUUAAGUGUUGAUUUUUUAUCUUAUUUUUUCUUUCUUUUAUAUUUAUUUUAACAGUUUUCCAUUAUAUUUCACAGUUUAUGCUUAUAUACAUCCACCCCUGUAACUUCUCAACUACCGACGCACUACAAUCACUAGGAAAAUGCUUGUGCAUUUCUACAUGCAAUAUGAAUCCAUUAAUCACAAUUUAGCAAAUGCGUACACCAAUAAGUGGAGCAUUGUUUGAUAUCAUAGCUGAAUGUCCAUUAUUCGAUAUCAUAGGUCAACAUCCGUGAAUUGCGACCAAAUAUAUAUUACUAUGAUGACCAAAGGCAUGAGCAACACAAAAAUCAAGCACAACAAAAUAUUUCCCAACAACUGCCAAAGAAAAAGAUUGCAAAUAACAACUUAAAGAAACCAAUAUCGCAAAACUAACAAGCCUUUGAACAAACAAGAUUUAACAUGACACUAAUUGGGUAUGCUUAAUUUGCACGAUACAAUGGUUCACGGGGAAACAAGUUUGUGCUGAGUGAUACAAGUUUGGUCUAUUCAACAAAACACAUCAAAUUUCCUGACUUAGGCAUUGAUAUCAAAAGUAUUCCGAGUCUUUAUCUAGAUAGAUCCAAACAAAUAUACAAGGAUGAGAACUUCCAAAUAAUCUUAUAGAUUGUGAAUCUAGCAACAUGAGUAUCAAUUCUACACUUUCCACAUAGGCAAUACAAUUUUAACUAGUGGGUUAUGCUUGUUUCCCGAAACAAGAUCAAGCGGGAGGUUGGUGUUAAUUCACCUAGGUGUAGAACCUUCUUUCGCUGAACACCAAUCCAAAGGACCAUGCUUGUUGCUUCGAAGAUCACUUGUAGAGCUUGUGCGUCUCGGGACAAUGAGGGAUUAGAGGAGUAGGCGACACUAUCUUUCCUAGAGGCGGGCCUACUACUGGUCGGGUGAGACUCUGCUGUGCAUCACAAUUCUUGAUCUUGUUUGUAAUUGAAGAGAGGUCCCAAGGCAGGAUGGCACUCACACGAGGGCUUGAUAAGUUGCAUUAGAGUGUGCUUUGAGGAUCACUUGAAGACUCAGAGCGGCACUGAUUAUAGAGAGCAUGGGGAAUGCUUAGUUUCUUGAAGGCUAUGCUUUGUUUUGUGCUAGAGGAUUUAGAUGUGGUCAGAUGGAGUUGGGCCAUGAAAUUAUAUUGAGAAAUUGAAGGGCAAAAGUUAAGAGAAACUUAGAGUUGUUGUUUAUGGAUGGCGAUAGGCCCAAGUUGCAUGUUUGUUGGUUUUGGGUGAUGAGAAUUGGAGAUUGGGAGGAAAGAGGAUAUGCUACGUUAGAAAAAAACAUUAAAGAAUUCGAGUUUGGCUACAUCAGUGCGAACUAUUAUGUUCAGCCUUUAGAAUCAGUUGUGUGCCCAACACUUCUUCCGAAACUGGUUUUGAUUCCAUUUUUGUUGUAUGUGUGCAGUUUUCAGAAUGGAGACUCACGCACCGCUUAUGACCGAUCAAUUAGACUCUACAUAUUAUGGCUUUUCCUUGUCUAGCCACCUUCAUGACCAAAGAUCUAAAUGAUUUAUUGCUUUUGCCAUGUCUAAGGUAAAUGCUUUUUUUCGAGCCUACGUUAGUUUCAAAAUGCGCAAGUUUAAUUAGCCGAAAAUGUAAGUUUGAUUUUUUUCAAAAAGAAAGUGUAGAGUGGAUUUUGGACGUUUUUACAAAGUGUGAAAUACACUUUUUUAGAAAACAUUUGUACUUAUAUGAAAAAAUAACCUUUUACUGCUUACUAUUGAAAUGUGUGUGCAAGGGUUAUUGAUUAUUUAGAGCCCGCUGUGGUAUCCAUUGCCUAUCCAACACUCUAUGCAAACAUCAAAACACUAUUACCGUAACACCAAGUAAGAAAUCAAUGCCUUGUGAACGUAUAUAUACACAUUUAUUUGAUAAGAAAUGUUAUCCUCAACCACGAGGGGAAGCACCUCGUGUAACGAUCUCCAACCAAAACUACAUACUUAGGUGAAUAAACAUUGUGACGCAUUAGCACAGUUAGCUUGUAUUGCAAGUACAAUAUGAUAUCAUACUUCACAUGCACAAGUGUGGUGUACUUGGAUAAAGCAUAAGUGACCAUUGUAAUUACGUGUGAGAAUAUAUAACAAGAUUUUUAGUUUUGGGUAACGAAGGGAAAGUAAUGCAAUGAACCUCGCAUAUGUAUUCCUCCUCUGGAAUACAUUCAUCCAUCCUCUCGUCCUCCGAUAUGUAUAGAGUAGGCCACAAUAGGUUAAUGGGGGAAAGUUGUUUGUAAUUAGGUAUUGUGUAGAAAAUAUUCAAGAUAAUCAUUGGCCUAAGACUAUACCAAAAAUCUGCAAAUGAAGAGCAAAAGGAAGAUAUUUAGUUUAAUUGUGAUGCAAGAAGCCGCUUAACUACACUAUUUAGGUGGGCCAACACGUGUAGGCGGACCAGGUGGUAUAUAUUGUUGGUGUUGGAUUUCCGUUUUAGGCUCACUGGAACUUCAUGGGGUGUUUGUUUUUAUGGGCGUGCGCCAUGGAUAGCUAGCGAGUAAAUGUUUGCUUUGUAGAUGUGUCCUUAGUUUCUUCCCAUAUUUCAUGUUGGAUAUGAUUUGUUCUCCUAAAUUGGCUAAGAAAUAUUGGAAAUAACUGAAAAAGAUAAAAACAUCAUGUCAUCGAAGAUCCACCCCCUCCGCUCGCACGAUAUUGCUUUGGAAAUGGAAAUAAUCCCUUCAUGUCAUGGAAGAUCUACAUCCUUCCACUCACGCGAUAUCGCAUCAUCUUACCUGGGUCAGUCUUCCCCCUUUCCUCACAAAAAAUCACGUUGUAUUGCAUGAGAUAUAUCCUGAAGUCCACUUAUUGUAGAACGAAAAUAAAUUCUCUAGCGACCCCGCCAUUUGAGACGUACCGGAAGCCUCCCCACCAUCCGAAAUUAAUGACACAUGUAAGCAAAGUGAGGGGUGGGUGUUGGGACUUACGAGAAUCCAUGCGAGAGCCGCAAUGCUUGGGGUGUUGAGCUCAUUUAUUCUCCACGUGGAUCGCUUCUUAAUGGUAUCACGCUCGAGUUGGUCACCUCCCAUGGCUAAGCCUCGCAUCUGGUGUAAACUAAAAUUAAGUUAGUAAAUUUUGGUGUUUCUAUAUUUGUUGUUCGAUUCUGAUUUCAGUUUAUUCCUAAAGGGUAGACUGCAUUAGGCUAACUAAGGAUAUGGAUACCUUCAACGCUUGGCACCCCGCAAUAUUAAAUAGAAAAGGUCCCUACCUCAUUUUGUGUAGCCACAUGAUGUGGGAGAAAUCACGAAAGAGACAAGCCCCGUGGGAGAGACUAAUUGGACUGGUUGAGAAGAAGAAGUUUUGUAGAAUAUUAGGCCUUGCGUAGUUGCAUACAAUGUUGAGGUGAAGAUCCAUAUUGUGCGGAUGUUUCCUUGUCAAACGGGCCAAAUAUCCCCUAAAUGGGUGAUCGGACGAUGAAAUCAAUCUUAGGACACUACCGAUUUGGCUAACGGCUUAUCAAAUCCCUAAUAUUUUGAAGUUGGGUUUGAGUUAGAGGAACGAGAGUCGAUGUGUUUGUGGUUCUAGAGGAUUGCCAAAGAUGCCCUAUGAGACUUUAUGACUUGUUCUCACACGUUGCUCGUAUUAAAACUACAAUAGGAAAUCAUACUUCACAUGCACAAAUGUGUGGUGUACCUAGAUAAAGCAAUAGAGACAAUUGUAGUUACAUGUGAGAACAUAUUAAAAAUAAUUUCAGUUUUGUGCAAUCAAGGGAAAGUAAAGUAAUGUCCUUCUCAUAUUUAUGCUCGCACUGAUCACAUUCAUCCAUCCACUCGUCCUUAUAGCUGUAUAGAGUAGGCCACAAUAGGGCCAUGGGAGAGUGUUGUUUGUAAUUAGGCGGUAACUGUGUACAAGACAUACAAGACAAUCAUUGUCCUAGAGCCUAUACCAUCCAUAUGCAAAUAAAGUGCAAAAGGAAGAAAUUUUGUUUAACUCUAAAGCAAGAAGCCGCUUAACUACACUAUUUAGGCAGGCCAACAUGUGUGGGAGGACUAGGUGGUAUUUUUGCGGUGAAUUUCCAUUUUAAGCUCAUUGGAACUCGAUGGGGAUGUUUGCUUUUUAGGUGUGGCCCAUGGACAGCUAGCCAACAAAUGGUAGCAUUGUAGAUGUGCCCUUUGUU